rnacentral:snRNA from 1 species
GUCAAAACUUACGAAUGUAGUAG